rnacentral:rRNA from 1 species
AUUGAACGCUGGCGGAAUGCUUUACACAUGCAAGUCGAACGGCAGCACGGACUUCGGUCUGGUGGCGAGUGGCGAACGGGUGAGUAAUAUAUCGGAACGUGCCCAGUCGUGGGGGAUAACGUAGCGAAAGUUACGCUAAUACCGCAUACGAUCUAAGGAUGAAAGCGGGGGAUCGCAAGACCUCGCGCGAUUGGAGCGGCCGAUAUCAGGAUUAGGGUAGUUGGUGGGGUAAAGGCUCACCAAGCCAACGAUCUGUAGCUGGUCUGAGAGGACGACCAGCCACACUGGAACUGAGACACGGUCCAGACUCCUACGGGAGGCAGCAGUGGGGAAUUUUGGACAAUGGCGCAAGCCUGAUCCAG